GGGCAGUGUCAGAGAAACAGAAAUGAACAGACAGAGGAAGAAAAUGCAGGGAAAAUGUUAAACACAUAUCAACAGUAAAAAGUGUCCUAGUUAUUACUGCUUGGAUCAGUAAUGGUCCAAAGUCUUGACUGAAGGAAGAAAAUAAAGUCAAGGGAGAAACUGAAGACAACCUAUAUUGUGGAAUACUGAGGUGAAUAAAACAUAGCCAUUGGCCUUAGAAAACUUACAGAUUCAUGAAGAAUCAAGCAUCUAAAGUAAUUACAUAUGUUCAGUCACUCAGCCAUGUCCAACUCUUUGUGACCCUAUGGAUUGUAACCCACCAGGCACCUCUGUUCAUGGGAUUUUUCAGGCAAGAAUACUGGAGUGGGUUGCGAUUUCCUCCUCAAUGAUUACAAUACAGCAUGCUGAAAGCACAAGGAAUAGAGGUAACUUCAGUUAAGUCAUUCGAUCAACCAAAUGCAUGGAGUGUCUUCUAUUUUACACGCACUAGUCUGGAAAAACAGGAUAAUCCCAAGUCCAGACUUUCAAUGUCAUAGAAAGCUUCCAAAAGAAACUUGAUCUGAGUUUUGUAAGAGGUAGCCAGGUAAAAGCAUGUGGCAGACAUUCAUUCUUCCCUUCCUGCAUACAAAUAGAAAUCUGAAUUAUUUGAGACAGCAUUGUAUUAAAAGCCAUUCAUACACCAUUCUAGGUAUGAGUGACCAUGUAAGUGAAAAAAAGCCUGUUGAACAGGGCUUUGUUGAAAAUCAUUUUUUUCCCGAUGAAAAUGAACUUAACUGACAGGUUCUUCCCUCUUCCUUUUAUUCAUGCUUGGGAUGCAGUUAUGAAACCUAGAGAUGGAAUCAUCAUCUCUCAGCCAUAAAAACCUCCUUACAAUAAUGGUAAAAUAAAAAGAUAGUAGGAGUCUUGGUCCCUGAUGAUACCAUACAACUUAUAUUUCCUUUGGAUUUUUGUUUAAGCCAUUGUAGUCACUUUUCUAUUAUGUACUGUUAAAUACAAUUCUAAGUAAUAAGAAGAGUACUGGAGUUUGGUGGUAGAGAGUUCAAGAGAAACUUCCCAGGCAUAGGAAACAAUGAGAUGCACAAAGAUGUGGAGUGAGAAGCUCAAUAUGAAGAAACUGUAAGGAAACCAACUGAUUGGAGUUAUGAAGAGAAGGAGACCAGAGAUGAAGUUGUAGAGCCCAGUUCAACUCUGUAAAGAGCAAAUGAUGAAUGGAGAAGAAUAAGAGGGAAAGAAAUGUGCCAUAAGAGACAUUUAGCAGACAUUAUUUUAAUGUGUCUGACAUAGUUUUGCAUAGUUUCACACCUUUAUGAGUUUAUUGCUAUAAUGGUGGCAGGAAGAUAUGGGUUCCAGGCACCACUAACUAAUGAGACAGUUUUGAAUUUUACUUGAUACUUCCAAUAAAAUCUUUUCACAGUGUCUGUACUCUUUCAAUCCAGU